GAUUAAGUUAUUAAGGGCGCACGGUGGAUGCCUUGGCACUAGAAGCCGAUGAAGGACGUUACUAACGACGAUAUGCUUUGGGGAGCUGUAAGUAAGCUUUGAUCCAGAGAUUUCCGAAUGGGGAAACCCAGCAUGAGUUAUGUCAUGUUAUCGAUAUGUGAAUACAUAGCAUAUCAGAAGGCACACCCGGAGAACUGAAACAUCUUAGUACCCGGAGGAAGAGAAAGAAAAUUCGAUUCCCUUAGUAGCGGCGAGCGAAACGGGAAGAGCCCAAACCAACAAGCUUGCUUGUUGGGGUUGUAGGACACUCUAUACGGAGUUACAAAGGACGACAUUAGACGAAUCAUCUGGAAAGAUGAAUCAAAGAAGGUAAUAAUCCUGUAGUCGAAAAUGUUGUCUCUCUUGAGUGGAUCCUGAGUACGACGGAGCACGUGAAAUUCCGUCGGAAUCUGGGAGGACCAUCUCCUAAGGCUAAAUACUCUCUAGUGACCGAUAGUGAACCAGUACCGUGAGGGAAAGGUGAAAAGCACCCCGGAAGGGGAGUGAAAUAGAACCUGAAACCGUGUGCUUACAAGUAGUCAGAGCCCGUUAAUGGGUGAUGGCGUGCCUUUUGUAGAAUGAACCGGCGAGUUACGAUUUGAUGCAAGGUUAAGCAGUAAAUGUGGAGCCGUAGCGAAAGCGAGUCUGAAUAGGGCGUUUAGUAUUUGGUCGUAGACCCGAAACCAGGUGAUCUACCCUUGGUCAGGUUGAAGUUCAGGUAACACUGAAUGGAGGACCGAACCGACUUACGUUGAAAAGUGAGCGGAUGAACUGAGGGUAGCGGAGAAAUUCCAAUCGAACCUGGAGAUAGCUGGUUCUCUCCGAAAUAGCUUUAGGGCUAGCCUCAAGUGAUGAUUAUUGGAGGUAGAGCACUGUUUGGACGAGGGGCCCCUCUCGGGUUACCGAAUUCAGACAAACUCCGAAUGCCAAUUAAUUUAACUUGGGAGUCAGAACAUGGGUGAUAAGGUCCGUGUUCGAAAGGGAAACAGCCCAGACCACCAGCUAAGGUCCCAAAAUAUAUGUUAAGUGGAAAAGGAUGUGGCGUUGCCCAGACAACUAGGAUGUUGGCUUAGAAGCAGCCAUCAUUUAAAGAGUGCGUAAUAGCUCACUAGUCGAGUGACACUGCGCCGAAAAUGUACCGGGGCUAAACAUAUUACCGAAGCUGUGGAUUGUCCUUUGGACAAUGGUAGGAGAGCGUUCUAAGGGCGUUGAAGCAUGAUCGUAAGGACAUGUGGAGCGCUUAGAAGUGAGAAUGCCGGUGUGAGUAGCGAAAGACGGGUGAGAAUCCCGUCCACCGAUUGACUAAGGUUUCCAGAGGAAGGCUCGUCCGCUCUGGGUUAGUCGGGUCCUAAGCUGAGGCCGACAGGCGUAGGCGAUGGAUAACAGGUUGAUAUUCCUGUACCACCUAUAAUCGUUUUAAUCGAUGGGGGGACGCAGUAGGAUAGGCGAAGCGUGCGAUUGGAUUGCACGUCUAAGCAGUAAGGCUGAGUAUUAGG
rnacentral:rRNA from 1 species